UACAGAGGUCUCAAGCGUUGUUCGGAUUUAUUGGGCGUAAAGGGUGCGUAGGCGGCGCGGUAAGUCGGGUGUGAAAUUUCGGAGCUUAACUCCGAAACUGCAUUCGAUACUGCCGUGCUUGAGGACUGGAGAGGAGACUGGAAUUUACGGUGUAGCAGUGAAAUGCGUAGAGAUCGUAAGGAAGACCAGUGGCGAAGGCGGGUCUCUGGACAGUUCCUGACACUGAGGCACGAAGGCCAGGGGAGCAAACGGG
rnacentral:rRNA from 1 species